UGGGGAAUAUUGGACAAUGGGCGAAAGCCUGAUCCAGCCAUGCCGCGUGUGUGAAGAAGGUCUUCGGAUUGUAAAGCACUUUAAGUUGGGAGGAAGGGCAUUAACCUAAUACGUUAGUGUUUUGACGUUCCCGACAGAAUAAGCCCCGGCUAACUCUGUGCCAGCAGCCGCGGUAAUACAGAGGGUGCAAGCGUUAAUCGGAAUUACUGGGCGUAAAGCGCGCGUAGGUGGUUUGUUAAGUUGGAUGUGAAAUCCCCGGGCUCAACCUGGGAACUGCAUUCAAAACUGACUGACUAGAGUAUGGUAGAGGGUGGUGGAAUUUCCUGUGUAGCGGUGAAAUGCGUAGAUAUAGGAAGGAACACCAGUGGCGAAGGCGACCACCUGGACUAAUACUGACACUGAGGUGCGAAAGCGUGGGGAGCAAACA
rnacentral:rRNA from 1 species